rnacentral:rRNA from 1 species
AGCUCCAUUAGCGUAUAUUAAAGUUGUUGCGGUUAAAAAGCUCGUAGUUGGAUCUCGGCGGCCCGGGGGCGGUGCGCUGUUUGGCGUUUCACUGCCCCACCCGGCCGUGAUGUUUUGCCGGAGGUUCGCGGGUGCUCUUAACCGAGUGUCCGCGGGCGCCGGCAGGUUUACUUUGAAAAAAUUAGAGUGCUCCAAGCAGGCCUUUACACGCCUGGAUAUUCGUGCAUGGAAUAAUGGAAUAGGACGUCGUUUCUAUUUUGUUGGUUUUCGGAAAUCGACGUAAUGAUUAAUAGGGACAGUCGGGGGCAUUAGUAUUCAGACGACAGAGGUGAAAUUCUUGGACCGUCUGAAGACUGCCUACUGCGAAAGCAUUUGCCAAGAAUGUUUUCA